UACGUAGGGUGCAAGCGUUGUCCGGAAUUAUUGGGCGUAAAGAGCUUGUAGGCGGUUUGUCGCGUCUGCUGUGAAAUUUCGGGGCUCAACCCCGAACUUGCAGUGGGUACGGGCAGACUAGAGUGUGGUAGGGGAGACUGGAAUUCCUGGUGUAGCGGUGAAAUGCGCAGAUAUCAGGAGGAACACCGGUGGCGAAGGCGGAUCUCUGGGCCUUACCUGACGCUGAGGAGCGAAAGCAUGGGGAGCAAACAGG
rnacentral:rRNA from 1 species